AGUGGCGCACGGGUGAGUAACACGUAGGUAAUGUACCGUAGGGUGGGGAAUAACUUAGGGAAACUUAAGCUAAUACCGCAUAAUGCAGCGGCUCCGAUUGGAGACAGUUGUUAAAGGAGCAAUCCGCCUUAUGAGCAGCCUGCGGCAGAUUAGCUAGUUGGUAAGGUAAUGGCUUACCAAGGCUACGAUCUGUAACCGACCUGAGAGGGUGGUCGGUCACACUGACACUGAAUAACGGGUCAGACUCCUACGGGAGGCAGCAGUCGGGAAUUUUGGGCAAUGGGCGCAAGCCUGACCCAGCAACGCCGCGUGAAGGAUGAAGUAUUUCGGUAUGUAAACUUCGUAAGAAUAGGAAGAAUAAAUGACGGUACUAUUUGUAAGGUCCGGCUAACUACGUGCCAGCAGCCGCGGUAAUACGUAGGGACCAAGCGUUGUUCGGAUUUACUGGGCGUAAAGGGCGCGUAGGCGGCGUGGUAAGUCAGCUGUGAAAUCUCCGAGCUUAACUCGGAACGGUCAGCUGAUACUGCUGUGCUAGAGUACAGAAAGGGCAAUCGGAAUUCUUGGUGUAGCGGUGAAAUGCGUAGAUAUCAAGAGGAACACCUGAGGCGAAGGCGGGUUGCUAGGCUGAUACUGACGCUGAGGCGCGAAAGCUAGGGUAGCAAACGGGAUUAGAUACCCCGGUAGUCCUAGCCCUAAACGA
rnacentral:rRNA from 1 species